UGCCCCACAUAAAAAUAUUCUGUCUAUGAUUAAAAAAAAUUUUUAUACUAAAUAGUAUACUAAUAAAACUUUAUAUAGCUAAACAACCGCAAGGGCUACUAACUUUCUCCGCUCACCAUAGAAAAGACAAAAACUUCUCCCUUUUGCAUCAUGGGGGAGCAACAAAACCGUAAAACUCUACUAUUCCCGAAUAAUUAUGAGCUACUAAACCCUAAAACUUAAUGUUUCACAAUUAAAAGACUAGCUUUUAGUAGAAGUAACAAGCCUUUCAUAUAAUUAGAUAGCUGGUUUUCCGCAAAAAGUAUUAAAGUACUAUCCUACAGUAAUUCUGUUUUUUAUUAAAAUUAAAACUAUAGGAAUCAACCUUUUAAGGACUAGCCUAAAAGAAAAACUAAAAUAACCCAAACACCGCACCUUCAACGUAGGCUUAAAAGCAGUCAUCUAACAGCGUUCCAGCUAAUAAUUUUCAAAUAAUAUAAUAUUAAAACUUAAUUUCAACAGUAGCGAAAUCUAGUAUCAAACACUCCUACUAACAAACAGGCAUCCCAUUAGUAUUAUAAUAACAGAACAUUAAAAGAAUUAACAAAACUAAUACCAACAAAUAAUCUCCUACCUCAACCAUACAGAGUGAACUCGGCAACAAAAUUUCCCCUGCCUGUUUACCAAAAACAUCGUCUUUUGUCAAUCCACAUAAAAGAUAAUGCCUGCCCAGUGAAAAUUUUAAACGGCCGCGUUAGCGUGAGCGUGCUAAGGUAGCGUAAUAAAUAGCCUCUUAAUUGGAGGCCAGUGAAUGGCAAGACUAGGGACAUCUGUACCCUGUAUAAAAAAACAACUUUUCAUUUGGGUGAAAAGACCCAAAUAAUGAAGGAAGACGAAAAGACCCCGCGGAACUUUACCUUUUCCAGUCUCCACAUGCUCAGAAACAUAAGAACAAAAGGUUUGAUUGGGGCAAUCUCGGAACCACCCAAACUUCCGACUAAUAACAAAAAGUAUACAAAACUCAAUAAGGACCAAAAAGAAGUUACCCCGGGGAUAACAGCGUAAUCCAACUUGAGAGUACACAUCGAAAGCUGGGUUUGCGACCUCGAUGUUGGCUUAAGGAUAUCCACAUAAGUGCAACCGCUAUGGUAGGAUAGUCUGUUCGACUAUUAUACCCUUACACGAGCUGAGUUAAGACCGGCGCAAGCUAGGUUGGUUUCUAUCUCCUUAACCUAAUAAUUUUCUUGAUUGUACGAAAGGACCUCAAGAAGUGCAACAGACAACAAGCAUAUAAUAACUUAAACCAAAUAAACUUAAACCUAAUUCCUCUAUAAA
rnacentral:rRNA from 1 species